UACGGAGGGUGCAAGCGUUAUCCGGAUUUACUGGGUUUAAAGGGUGCGUAGGCGGGCCAGCCAGUCUGUGGUGAAAGCCUCCAGCUUAACUGGAGAAGUGCCGUGGAUACUGCUGGCCUCGAGGAGGAUAGGGGCAUCUGGAACGGUCGGUGGAGCGGUGAAAUGCGUUGAUAUCGACCGGAACUCCGGUGGCGAAGGCGAGGUGCUGGGUCCUUUCUGACGCUGAUGCGCGAAAGCGUGGGUAGCAAACAGG
rnacentral:rRNA from 1 species